GGGGGCGUAGCUCAGAUGGUAGAGCGCUCGCUUAGCAUGUGGGGUACGGGGAUCGAUACCCCGCGCCUCGAAUCA
rnacentral:tRNA from 1 species